GCCGCGUGACCGAUGAAGCUUCUAGGAGUGUAAAGGUCUGUCGUGAGGGAAGAAAAAUCCGGAUGUAAAUAAUGUUCGGACGUGACGGUACCUCACAAGAAAGCACCGGCUAACUUAGUGCCAGCAGCCGCGGUAAUACUAGGGGUGCUAGCGUUGUCCGGAAUCACUGGGCGUAAAGGGUCCGUAGGCGUUUUGCUAAGUUGAUUGUUAAAUCCAUCGGCUCAACCGAUGAUCUGCAAUCAAAACUGGUAGAAUAGAGUUCGAGAGAGGAAAGUGGAAUUCCUGGUGUAGCGGUGACAUGCGUAGAUAUCAGGAGGAACACCAAUGGCGAAGGCAGCUUUCUGGCUCGAUACUGACGCUGAGGGACGAAAGCGUGGGGAGCGAACAGGAUUAGAUACCCUGGUAGUCCACGCCGUAAACGAUGAGUACUUGAUGAUGGAGGAUUCGACCCCUUCGUUGUCGUAGCUAACGCGAUAAGUACUCCGCCUGGGGACUACGACCGCAAGGUUG
rnacentral:rRNA from 1 species